rnacentral:rRNA from 1 species
UCAAGCGGAGAGUUUGAUCCUGGCUCAGGACGAACGCUGGCGGCGUGCCUAACACAUGCAAGUCGAACGGGGUUGUUUUAGAAGCUUGCUUUUGGGACGACCAAGUGGCGGA